CCCUUAGAUGUUCGGGGCCGCACGCGCGCUACACUGAAGGAAUCAGCACGUCUUUCUCCUUGUCCGAAAGGACUGGGUAACCCGCUGAACCUCCUUCGUGCUAGGGAUUGGGGCUUGUAAUUCUUCCCCAUGAACGAGGAAUUCCCAGUAAGCGCGAGUCAUAAGCUCGCGUUGAUUACGUCCCUGCCCUUUGUACACACCGCCCGUCGCUCCUACCGAUUGGGUGUGCUGGUGAAAUGUUCGGAUCGGCCGUUUGUCGCGGUUUCCGCGUCAUGUGGCUGAGAAGUUCAUUAAACCCUCCCACCUAGAGGAAGGAGAAGUCGUAACA
rnacentral:rRNA from 1 species